GAUGAACGCUGGCGGCGUGCCUAAUACAUGCAAGUCGAGCGAACAGACGAGGAGCUUGCUCCUCUGACGUUAGCGGCGGACGGGUGAGUAACACGUGGAUAACCUACCUAUAAGACUGGGAUAACUUCGGGAAACCAGAGCUAAUACCGGAUAAUAUAUUGAACCGCAUGGUUCAAUAGUGAAAGACGGUUUUGCUGUCACUUAUAGAUGGAUCCGCGCCGCAUUAGCUAGUUGGUAAGGUAACGGCUUACCAAGGCAACGAUGCGUAGCCGACCUGAGAGGGUGAUCGGCCACACCGGAACUGAGACACGGUCCAGACUCCUACGGGAGGCAGCAGUAGGGAAUCUUCCGCAAUGGGCGAAAGCCUGACGGAGCAACGCCGCGUGAGUGAUGAAGGUCUUCGGAUCGUAAAACUCUGUUAUUAGGGAAGAACAAAUGUGUAAGUAACUAUGCACGUCUUGACGGUACCUAAUCAGAAAGCCACGGCUAACUACGUG
rnacentral:rRNA from 1 species